rnacentral:rRNA from 1 species
AACGAACGCUGGCGGCAUGCCUAACACAUGCAAGUCGAACGAGACCUUCGGGUCUAGUGGCGCACGGGGGCGUAACGCGUGGGAACCUGCCCUUAGGUUCGGAAUAACUCCCCGAAAGGGGUGCUAAUACCGGAUAAUGUCUUCGGACCAAAGAUUUAUCGCCUUUGGAUGGGCCCGCGUUGGAUUAGCUAGUUGGUAGGGUAAAAGCCUACCAAGGCGACGAUCCAUAGCUGGUCUGAGAGGAUGAUCAGCCACACUGGGACUGAGACACGGCCCAGACUCCUACGGGAGGCAGCAGUGGGGAAUAUUGGACACUGGGCGAAAGCCUGAUCCAGCAAUGCCGCGUGAGUGAUGCAGGCCUUAGGGUUGUAAAGCUCUUUUACCCGGGAUGAUAAUGACAGUACCGGGAGAAUAAGCUCCGGCUAACUCCGUG